GAUGAACGCUAGCUACAGGCUUAACACAUGCAAGUCGAGGGGAAACGGCAUUGAGUGCUUGCACUCUUUGGACGUCGACCGGCGCACGGGUGAGUAACGCGUAUCCAACCUUCCCAUUACUGUGGGAUAACCUGCCGAAAGGCAGACUAAUACCGCAUAGUCUUCGAUGACGGCAUCAGAUUUGAAGUAAAGAUUUAUCGGUAAUGGAUGGGGAUGCGUCUGAUUAGCUUGUUGGCGGGGUAACGGCCCACCAAGGCAACGAUCAGUAGGGGUUCUGAGAGGAAGGUCCCCCACAUUGGAACUGAGACACGGUCCAAACUCCUACGGGAGGCAGCAGUGAGGAAUAUUGGUCAAUGGACGGAAGUCUGAACCAGCCAAGUAGCGUGCAGGAUGACGGCCCUAUGGGUUGUAAACUGCUUUUGUAUGGGGAUAAAGUUAGGGACGUGUCCCUAUUUGCAGGUACCAUACGAAUAAGGACCGGCUAAUUCCGUGCCAGCAGCCGCGGUAAUACGGAAGGUCCAGGCGUUAUCCGGAUUUAUUGGGUUUAAAGGGAGCGUAGGCUGGAGAUUAAGUGUGUUGUGAAAUGUAGACGCUCAACGUCUGAUUUGCAGCGCAUACUGGUUUCCUUUGAGUACGCACAACGUUUGGCGGAAUUCGUCGUGUAGCGGUGAAAUGCUUAGAUAUGACGAAGAACUCCGAUUGCGAAGGCAGCUGACGGGAGCGCAACUGACGCUUAAGCUCGAAGGUGCGGGUAUCAAACAGG
rnacentral:rRNA from 1 species